rnacentral:rRNA from 1 species
UACGGAGGGAGCUAGCGUUGUUCGGAAUUACUGGGCGUAAAGCGCACGUAGGCGGUCUUUUAAGUCAGGGGUGAAAUCCCGGGGCUCAACCCCGGAACUGCCCUUGAAACUGGGAGACUAGAAUACUGGAGAGGUGAGUGGAAUUCCGAGUGUAGAGGUGAAAUUCGUAGAUAUUCGGAAGAACACCAGUGGCGAAGGCGACUCACUGGACAGUUAUUGACGCUGAGGUGCGAAAGCGUGUGGAGCAAACAGG